CGGUCUUUCCAGUCUUCUUGUGGUAAACUGCGAGUUCCACUGAGAGCGCUAUGGGACUCACAGGCACAGGAGGGGUGGGGCCGGUCCACUGCCGCAGAAGGACGGACGGGGAAGAAUGUGCACGCCACAGACCAGCCUGGUACAACCUGAAUAGGCGCAGCUGAAAGGCAAUCAUGGAAUGAUCCCCAGAUCUCAGAGACAGAGUCUCACUGUACCGCCCUCGGGCAGAGUGCCGUGGCGUCACAAGUGGCGUCACACGGCUCACAGCAACCUCCAACUCUUGGGCUUACGCGAUUCUCUUGCCUCAGCCUCCCGAGCAGCUGGGACUACAGGCGCCCGCCACAACGCCCGGCUAUUUUUCUGUUGCAGUUUGGCCGGGGCUGGGCUUGAACCCGCCACCCUCGGCAUAUGGGGCCGGCGCCCUACUCACUGAGCCACAGGCGCCGCCCUUUGUAUCCAUAUGUUAAUCUGAAAAAAUCUGAUCUAGCUAAGGCAUCCACCACCACCACCCUCAUCUGCUUCUCUCCCCAGCACCUGAGGUUGGUGGGAAUGAAGAGCCUUCUCUGUGGGGACAGCCCCAGGAGGAGCAGCAGGGGCCACAGGUGUUGCACCAUCACACCCAGCUACUUUUCCUUUCUUUCUUUCUUUCUUUUUUUUUUUUUGUAGAGCUGGAGUCUUGCUAUGUUGCUCAGGCUGGUCUCAAACUCCUGGCCCCAAGCAAUCCUCAGCCCUCAGCCUCCCAAAGUGCUGGGAUUUCAAGCCCAAGCCACCAUGCCCAGCACUGGUUUUGCUUUCAUUUGUAGAGUAAAUUCUCCUUCCAAGCUGAGCUGCUAACCUUCUUGACCACACUUGGGUGGGUUUUUGUAGUCAUCACCUUCAUUGUCAGGGAAUGAUGGUUUCCCCUAGAAAGGACACCCAAGAAAAGGAGUUUCAGACAUGUCCCCCAGCUCCAGCAAGGCCACGGCUCUGGCAGGACAGCCAAGUCUGCAGGAGGGCAGGGCGGAAAUGGUCCUGCUCUGUGUGUCACCCCCAAUGUUUGUUCAAACCCUCUGAAUAUCUGUGAGCAAAGGGGGUGGCCUGCGUAAUGUGCUGUGUGCAAAGGCUGGAGGCACUGUGAUUCUAGCUCAUCCUUUACAAUCCCACCCCCACCUCUCACAGCGGAGACCCAUCCCAAGCACAGCAGUGCCCUAAACACCUGAAAUAGCCAACAAGGGAACACGGUGUGUCCACAGAUCAUGGACACCAUUUAAUAUGGGAUUCCAAAAACCAUUAAGGUCCCCAAAGGCUUUUGUGUGAUUCUAUUGGCAUGAAUCCUCUGGAGCAGGCCGACUAGUAAGAGAUAGAAAGCAGAUUAGUGGUUUGCCUGGGGGUUAGGGGGUGGUGGGCAGUGACUACUAAUGCGGACAGAGUUUCUCUAAGUGGGAGGACAAUGUUCUGGAAUUAGAUUAUGGUGAUGGUUGACAAUUGGAAAUUUACUGAAAACCAUUGUGUUUUAUACUUUUAACAGGAAAAUUUAUAGUAUAUUAAUUGUAUCUCAUUGUUAAGUAUUUUAAGACUUACAGGGAAAUGUUCUGGAAGUUAUGAAUCAGUAUGUAUAUUUUGAUUUCACCAUUAAAGAAAAUAUA